AACGAACGCUGGCGGCAGGCCUAACACAUGCAAGUCGAGCGGACAUCUUCGGAUGUUAGCGGCGGACGGGUGAGUAACGCGUGGGAACGUGCCCUUUGCUUCGGAAUAGCCUCGGGAAACUGGGAGUAAUACCGGAUGUACCCUUUGGGGGAAAGAUUUAUCGGCAAAGGAUCGGCCCGCGUUGGAUUAGGUAGUUGGUGGGGUAAUGGCCUACCAAGCCGACGAUCCAUAGCUGGUUUGAGAGGAUGAUCAGCCACACUGGGACUGAGACACGGCCCAGACUCCUACGGGAGGCAGCAGUGGGGAAUCUUAGAAAAUGGGGGAAACCCUGAUCUAGCCAUGCCGCGUGAGCGAUGAAGGCCUUAGGGUUGUAAAGCUCUUUCACCGGGGAAGAUAAUGACGGUACCCGGAGAAGAAGCCCCGGCUAACUCCGUG
rnacentral:rRNA from 1 species